rnacentral:rRNA from 1 species
GGGCUAGGACGCUAAGCCGCCCGGUGGAUGGCUCGGCUCGGGGCG